rnacentral:rRNA from 1 species
AUUGAACACUGGCGGCAGGCUUAACACAUGCAAGUCGAGCGGGGUGAUGGUGCUUGCACUAUCACUUAGCGGCGGACGGGUGAGUAAUGCUUAGGAAUCUGCCUAUUAGUGGGGGACAACAUCUCGAAAGGGAUGCUAAUACCGCAUACGUCCUACGGGAGAAAGCAGGGGAUCACUUGUGACCUUGCGCUAAUAGAUGAGCCUAAGUCGGAUUAGCUAGUUGGUGGGGUAAAGGCCUACCAAGGCGACGAUCUGUAGCGGGUCUGAGAGGAUGAUCCGGCACGAUGGGACUGAGACACGGCCCAGACGCCUACGGGAGGCAGAAGUGGGGAAUAUUGGACAAUGGGGGGAACCCUGAUCCAGCCAUGCCGCGUGUGUGAAGAAGGCCUUAUGGUUGUAAAGCACUUUAAGCGAGGAGGAGGCUCUUUUGGUUAAUACCCAAGAUGAGUGGACGUUACUCGCAGAAUAAGCACCGGCUAACUCUGUGCCAGCCGCCGCCGUAA